rnacentral:piRNA from 1 species
GUAAAGGUAGUCUGGAUUGUGAAGCU